rnacentral:tRNA from 1 species
GCCUUGUUGGCGCAAUCGGUAGCGCGUAUGACUCUUAAUCAUAAGGUUAGGGGUUCGAGCCCCCUACAGGGCUUUCUUUUUA